GUUUGAUCAUGGCUCAGAUUGAACGCUGGCGGCAGGCUUAACACAUGCAAGUCGAGCGGGGGAAGGUAGCUUGCUACUGGACCUAGCGGCGGACGGGUGAGUAAUGCUUAGGAAUCUGCCUAUUAGUGGGGGACAACAUCUCGAAAGGGAUGCUAAUACCGCAUACGUCCUACGGGAGAAAGCAGGGGAUCUUCGGACCUUGCGCUAAUAGAUGAGCCUAAGUCGGAUUAGCUAGUUGGUGGGGUAAAGGCCUACCAAGGCGACGAUCUGUAGCGGGUCUGAGAGGAUGAUCCGCCACACUGGGACUGAGACACGGCCCAGACUCCUACGGGAGGCAGCAGUGGGGAAUAUUGGACAAUGGGGGGAACCCUGAUCCAGCCAUGCCGCGUGUGUGAAGAAGGCCUUAUGGUUGUAAAGCACUUUAAGCGAGGAGGAGGCUACUUUAGUUAAUACCUAGAGAUAGUGGACGUUACUCGCAGAAUAAGCACCGGCUAACUCUGUGCCAGCAGCCGCGGUAAUACAGAGGGUGCGAGCGUUAAUCGGAUUUACUGGGCGUAAAGCGUGCGUAGGCGGCUUAUUAAGUCGGAUGUGAAAUCCCCGAGCUUAACUUGGGAAUUGCAUUCGAUACUGGUGAGCUAGAGUAUGGGAGAGGAUGGUAGAAUUCCAGGUGUAGCGGUGAAAUGCGUAGAGAUCUGGAGGAAUACCGAUGGCGAAGGCAGCCAUCUGGCCUAAUACUGACGCUGAGGUACGAAAGCAUGGGGAGCAAACAGGAUUAGAUACCCUGGUAGUCCAUGCCGUAAACGAUGUCUACUAGCCGUUGGGGCCUUUGAGGCUUUAGUGGCGCAGCUAACGCGAUAAGUAGACCGCCUGGGGAGUACGGUCGCAAGACUAAAACUCAAAUGAAUUGACGGGGGCCCGCACAAGCGGUGGAGCAUGUGGUUUAAUUCGAUGCAACGCGAAGAACCUUACCUGGCCUUGACAUACUAGAAACUUUCCAGAGAUGGAUUGGUGCCUUCGGGAAUCUAGAUACAGGUGCUGCAUGGCUGUCGUCAGCUCGUGUCGUGAGAUGUUGGGUUAAGUCCCGCAACGAGCGCAACCCUUUUCCUUACUUGCCAGCAUUUCGGAUGGGAACUUUAAGGAUACUGCCAGUGACAAACUGGAGGAAGGCGGGGACGACGUCAAGUCAUCAUGGCCCUUACGGCCAGGGCUACACACGUGC
rnacentral:rRNA from 1 species